rnacentral:misc_RNA from 1 species
GAACUGCGAUAAGUAAUGUGAAUUGCAGAAUUCAGUGAAUCAUCGAGUCUUUGAACGCACAUUGCGCCCCCUGGCAUUCCGGGGGGCAUGCCUGUCCGAGCGUCAUUGCUGCCCUUCAAGCCCGGCUUGUGUGUUGGGUCGUCGUCCCCUCCGGGGGACGGGCCCGAAAGGCAGCGGCGGCACCGCGUCCGGUCCUCGAGCGUAUGGAGCUUUGUCACCCGCUCGAUAAGGACCGGCCGGGCGCCAGCCGGCGUCUCCAACCUUUUUUUCUCAGGUUGACCUCGGAUCAGGUAGGGAUACCCGCUGAACUUAAGC